rnacentral:snRNA from 1 species
AUCCGAGUGCACGGGCGUUUUCCUUCUCCGUGAAGCGAUAAGCUGAGAGAGGAAUUUUGCUAGUUGAAAACUAUUUACAAACCGCUCCUGUUUGGGCAAUGCCUGGGCAGGGAAUUUUUGGAACUCUCUUUCCACUCCGAUGGGU